CAGCAGCCGCGGUAAUACGUAGGUGGCAAGCGUUGUCCGGAAUUAUUGGGCGUAAAGGGCUCGCAGGCGGUUUCUUAAGUUUGAUGUGAAAGCCCCCGGCUCAACCGGGGAGGGUCAUUGGUAACUGGGAAACUUGAGUGCAGAAGAGGAGAGUGGAAUUCCACGUGUAGCGGUGAAAUGCGUAGAGAUGUGGAGGAACACCAGUGGCGAAGGCGACUCUCUGGUCUGUAACUGACGCUGAGGUGCGAAAGCGUGGGGAGCAAACAGGAUUAGAUACCCGCGUAGUCCCUGUCUCUUAUAC
rnacentral:rRNA from 1 species